rnacentral:tRNA from 1 species
GGCCUCGUGGCUCGUAGGUGGUAGAGUGUGCGUUGUACAACGGCGUAGACGGUGUCCACGCGUGGGUUCGAAUCCCACCGAGGCUA